AUACCAGCACCUCAAGUGGUCAGGAUGAUUAUUGGGCCUAAAGCAUCCGUAGCCGGCUCUGUAAGUUUUCGGUUAAAUCUGUACGCUCAACGUACAGGCUGUUGGGAAUACUGCAGAGCUAGGGAGUGGGAGAGGUAGAUGGUACUCGGGAGGAAGUGGUAAAAUGCUUUGAUCUCUCGAUGACCACCUGUGGCGAAGGCGGUCUACCAGAACACGUCCGACGGUGAGGGAUGAAAGCUGGGGGAGCAAACCGGAUUAGAUACCCGAGUAGUCC
rnacentral:rRNA from 1 species